rnacentral:rRNA from 1 species
UACGUAGGGGGCAAGCGUUGUCCGGAUUUAUUGGGCGUAAAGCGUGCGCAGGCGGUUGUGCAAGACAGAUGUGAAAUCCCCGGGCUCAACCUGGGAACUGCAUUUGUGACUGCACGGCUGGAGUGCGGCAGAGGGGGAUGGAAUUCCGCGUGUAGCAGUGAAAUGCGUAGAUAUGCGGAGGAACACCGAUGGCGAAGGCAAUCCCCUGGGCCUGCACUGACGCUCAUGCACGAAAGCGUGGGGAGCAAACAGG